rfam:Rummeliibacillus stabekisii strain PP9, complete genome.
AGGACAGUAUCCAACUCGGAACUGUACCUCCGAAACCAGUAUUACAAUAAUUGAUCUGCCUUGAUCGACUAGACAGGGACGGAAGA